GUACACGCUGUGACUAGCAUAUCAAUAAGCGGAGGAAAAGAAACUAACAAGGAUUCCCUCAGUAACGGCGAGUGAAGCGGGAAGAGCUCAAAUUUGAAAUCUUGAAAGGUCACCUUUCACGAAUUGUAGUUUAAAGAAGUGUUUUCUGUUACGAUCGUAAUAUAAGUUCUUUGGAAUAGGACAUCACAGAGGGUGAGAAUCCCGUCUAUGAUUGCGAUUUGUAGCUUUGUGAUACACUUUCAAAGAGUCGGGUUGUUUGGGAAUGCAGCCCAAAACGGGAGGUAAAUUUCUUCUAAGGCUAAAUAUUGGCGAGAGACCGAUAGCGAACAAGUACCGUGAGGGAAAGAUGAAAUGAACUUUGAAAAGAGAGUUAAAUAGUACGUGAAAUUGUCAAAAGGGAAGCGUUUAACACCAGUGUUGUUUUCUGAAAAUCAACCUCUGUUAGCUUUAUGCAUGUUUGUUUAGACCUAAUCAGCUAUCUUUCAUGUUCUAUUGUUUGCAGUGGUGCACUUUUCAGUUUACAGGUCAACAUCAGUUUUUUUUACCGUAAAAAAGUUAAAGAAAGGUAGCUCAUGGCUCCGGUCGUGAGUGUUAUAGUCUUUUUCCUAUGCGGUAGGAGAGACUGAGGUCUGCAGUGUAGGCUAUUUGGCUAGAUACUCAGGUGCUAUGUGAUACCAUUUCAUAAACAACUUGUUGAUUAUGUUUUGUCUAUUGCAUACUCGCUUGUACUAUCAUACCUACGCUUAGGAUGUUGAACUACUGAGACAUAG
rnacentral:rRNA from 1 species